GAAGGUGUGCUGUGAGGCAUGCUGGAGGUAUCAGAAGUGCGAAUGCUGACAUAAGUAACGAUAAAGCGGGUGAAAAGCCCGCUCGCCGGAAGACCAAGGGUUCCUGUCCAACGUUAAUCGGGGCAGGGUGAGUCGACCCCUAAGGCGAGGCCGAAAGGCGUAGUCGAUGGGAAACAGGUUAAUAUUCCUGUACUUGGUGUUACUGCGAAGGGGGGACGGAGAAGGCUAUGUUGGCCGGGCGACGGUUGUCCCGGUUUAAGCGUGUAGGCUGGUUUUCCAGGCAAAUCCGGAAAAUCAAGGCUGAGGCGUGAUGACGAGGCACUACGGUGCUGAAGCGACAAAUGCCCUGCUUCCAGGAAAAGCCUCUAAGCAUCAGGUAACA
rnacentral:rRNA from 1 species